GACGAACGCUGGCGGCGUGCUUAACACAUGCAAGUCGAACGGAAAGGCCUGCUUUCCCUUGUGGAUUGCGGGUACUCGAGUGGCGAACGGGUGAGUAACACGUGAGUGAUCUGCCCCCAACUUGGGUAUAAGCCUGGGAAACUGGGUCUAAUUCCCGAUAGGACUGCAGGGUGGUGCCUGUUGUGGAAAACGAUUUUCUAGUGGUUGGGGAUGAGCUCGCGGCCUAUCAGCUUGUUGGUGGGGUAAUGGCCUACCAAGGCGGCGACGGGUAGCCGGCCUGAGAGGGUGGACGGCCACAUUGGGACUGAGAUACGGCCAAGACUCCUACGGGAGGCAGCAGUGGGGAAUAUUGCACAAUGGGCGGAAGCCUGAUGCAGCGACGCCGCGUGGGGGAUGACGGCCUUCGGGUUGUAAACUCCUUUCGACCGCGAGGAAGCCACCUGGUUGGAAGGGUGGUGACGGUAGUGGUAGAAGAAGCACCGGCUAACUACGUG
rnacentral:rRNA from 1 species